AGAAGUCAUUGGGGAGAAUUUUGCAAGGUGGUUACCACACCUAUGAUGACUCACAACAGUUCCCAUUCCAUGAAUUAGGGAAUAAUUGUUGGAAUUUUGCCAGCUGUCAAGAAUGUCUAUUUCUACUGUAACACUCAGGAAGUAGGGAAAUAACUACAGAAUAAAUUUUCAGACACACUGACUUGAAUGAGAGGUUCUGUUCAUCCAGUUUUCAAGUCUUUUUCAGAAGAAUUUAUUCUAUAUGCUGUAAAUUUGUUGUGUCUGCGAGAGGAGGUGAGAUUAGUAUCUUCCUAUGCCACCAUCUUGAGCUACUCUCUAAAAAUCUUAAUAAGGAUGAUAGCAGCUGCACAGACGAAUUGGGGUUACUUUGCUGGACUGGAUGCCAAACUUGACUAGGACUCGGCAGAAUGGUCCUUUUCUCCAAAUGAUGUCAGCUGAAGCUGCAGUCUUCAGGAAUCUCAACGAGGACAGAAUUUCUUAGAUGGAUUAUUCAUAUAAGUCUAGCAGUUAAUGCUGGCUGUUAGCUGAGAGAUCAGCUAGGUCUGCUGAUCACAGCAUCUCAAGCCUCCGUUUGGCCUUUCCACAUGGUUUGGCCUUCUCUCAAGAUUCUAAGGAGUUCUAAGAAGGUGUGUUCCAAAUAUCCAAAAGCAGAAGGGUUUACUUUUGGAACUCACACAACUGCUCUUUUGCCACAUUCUAAUGGUCAAAGAAGGUUACAAGUCCAGCCCAGAUCAGGGGGAUGGGAAGGGGGCAGGAAAUAUAUUCUACUUCUCAAUAGGAGGAGUGACUAAGAAUUUGCAGUCACCUUUAGUCUAUCACAGAGCCACAUAUAUCUGUAUAUUUGACUAGUGCAAAGAUGACAUUGUGGGUAAAGAUUUGACUUUUCAAUAUAUAUUACAGAAAUAAUUGGAUAGAAAAAAGUGAAACUUGACUGCACAUCAUACCCUAAUCAAAAAUAAACUUCAAUAGGGUUGUAUACUUAAAUGUUAUGGCGAAAAAAAUUAUACUCUAAACAAUGCUAUAGAAAAAUAUCAUUGUGACCUUGAGAUAGGGAUUUUUUAAAAAACUGCACACAAAAUGCUUUAAUCAUGGGGAAAAUAUUAAAUUGAACUAUAUUUUAACAGUUGCCAUUGGUGCACAUAUCAUUUUCCCUUGACCCAUAUCUAAUUUCCUUGAACCAUCUCUAAUUUUAGCCAUUCUAAUUCCCUUGACCUAUCUACUGGAAGGAUAGAUCCAUGAUGACUCAUACUUCUCUGACAGUGUUUUAGAGUUUCUUUCCCAUGGCCUUUUGUCAUACCAAGGAUUCUCUUGGCCAAUGUGCAAACACAGUCUGAGAGUAUGGUAUUACUAAAGCACAGUCCUAAAACAAUAGGGUAAGAUCUGGGAUAAAUGCUUCAGUCUCCUGUCCUUCAGACAGACAAUUCUGGAAAGAGCCCUGCUUCCUAGAGUGUGAUGUAAAAAUGCACCUUUAUAUUUGCUUUCCUUUCCUCCCUAACUCUUCCUAGUCCCUCACCUCUAAUACCUAGGAUCUUUUCAUAAUUAAACUACUACAUGCA